rnacentral:rRNA from 1 species
CCUACGGGUGGCAGCAGUAGGGAAUCUUCCACAAUGGACGAAAGUCUGAUGGAGCAACGCCGCGUGGGUGAAGGAGGGUUUCGGCUCGUAAAGCUCUGUUGGUAGUGAAGAAACAUAGAGGUAGUAACUUGCCUUUAUUUGACGGUAAUUACUUAGAAAGUCACGGUUAACUACGUGCCACAAGCGUCGGUAAGACGUAGGUGGCAAGCGUUGUCCGGAUUUAUUGGGCGUAAAGCGAGUGCAGGCGGUCCAAUAAGUCUGAUGGGAAAGCCUUCGGCUCAACCGGAGAAUUGCAUCAGAAACUGUUGAACUUGAGUGCAGAAGAGGAGAGUGGAACUCCAUGUGUAGCGGUGGAAUGCGUAGAUAUAUGGAAGAACACCAGUGGCGAAGGCGGCUCUCUGGUCUGCAACUGACGCUGAGGCUCGAAAGCAUGGGUAGCGAACAGGAUUAGAUACCCCGGUAGUC